ACCGGCGCAAGGGUGCGUAACGCGUGAGCAACAUGCCCGUAUCAGGGGGAUAAUCCAUGGAAACGUGGUCUAAUACCCCAUAGUAAGUUUUUGGGGCAUCUCAAAGAUUUUAAAGCUUUGGUGGAUACGGAUUGGCUCGCGUGACAUUAGCUAGAUGGUAAGGUAACGGCUUACCAUGGCUACGAUGUCUAGGGGUUCUGAGAGGAAGGUCCCCCACACUGGAACUGAGACACGGUCCAGACUCCUACGGGAGGCAGCAGUGAGGAAUAUUGGACAAUGGAUGGAAAUCUGAUCCAGCCAUGCCGCGUGCAGGAAGACGGCCCUAUGGGUUGUAAACUGCUUUUGUAUGGGAGCAAUAAGGGCUACGUGUAGUCCGAUGAGAGUACCAUACGAAUAAGCACCGGCUAACUCCGUGCCAGCAGCCGCGGUAAUACGGAGGGUGCAAGCGUUAUCCGGAUUUAUUGGGUUUAAAGGGUGCGUAGGCGGUUUGAUAAGUCAGCGGUGAAAUAUUUCAGCUUAACUGGAAGGGUGCCGUUGAUACUGUCGAGCUUGAAUUUAGUUGCUGUGGGUGGAAUGUGUGGUGUAGCGGUGAAAUGCAUAGAUAUCACACAGAAUAUCGAUUGCGAAGGCAGCUCACAAAGCUAAUAUUGACGCUGAUGCACGAAAGUGUGGGGAUCAAACAGGAUUAGAUACCCUGGUAGUCCACACU
rnacentral:rRNA from 1 species